UGGGGGAUCGUCUAACGGUAGGACGACUGACUCUGGAUCAGUUAAUCGUGGUUCGAAUCCACGUCCCCCAG
rnacentral:tRNA from 1 species